rnacentral:rRNA from 1 species
UGGGGAAUCUUCCGCAAUGGACGAAAGUCUGACGGAGCAACGCCGCGUGAGUGAAGACGGCCUUCGGGUUGUAAAGCUCUGUGAUCCGGGACGAAAGAGCCUGAGGUAAAUAGCCUAAGGAAGUGUCGGUACCGGAAAAGCAAGCCACGGCUAACUACGUGCCAGCAGCCGCGGUAAUACGUAGGUGGCAAGCGUUGUCCGGAAUUAUUGGGCGUAAAGCGCGCGCAGGCGGCUUCCUAAGUCCAUCUUAAAAGUGCGGGGCUUAACCCCGCGAUGGGAUGGAAACUGGGAAGCUGGAGUAUCGGAGAGGAAAGUGGAAUUCCUAGUGUAGCGGUGAAAUGCGUAGAGAUUAGGAAGAACACCGGUGGCGAAGGCGACUUUCUGGACGAAAACUGACGCUGAGGCGCGAAAGCGUGGGGAGCAAACAGG